CGCAUCCUGAGCUUCCGCCUCGCCGCGCGCUGUCGGCCCUCGGUGUCUGCCCGCUCGGCCGAGAGCGCCUGUGUGCGUCCGCUUUCGUUUGCCUGCCUUCGGUGCACCCUGGGGCCGCGCUGCUUCCAGCCGACAUCCUGUUAGGAAAAUAGUUUCUAGGUACUCCAUUGGAAAAACCGCUUCAGUAAAGAACUCUAGUGCCUAUUUGAGGAGAAGAUUGAGCCCUAUGUGGAGUGCAAUGGUGCUGUCUCGGCUCAG